GACGUCAUCAUUUAAAGCCUUGACAUUGGGCCACUGUCUCUUAAAAAAAUCUCCUUCUCAUUCUGAAACUCCACCUUCAGGAAGCCAUCACAACAUCUCUCCUCUUUAACCCUUUAAUGACGCUUUUACCAGCCUUUCUCUGAGAAGUGGCCUCUAUAAUGAGCUCAGCUACUGCACAGUUCUACCAGGUGUUUGCUAAUUGCUGCUGGCCAGUGUGAAGGAGCUGAGUGGGGCAGUCACCGGGCAGAGCUGCUCUGUAAUGCUGUAAAGUAUCGGCUCAGGGAGAAUGGGUACUAAUGUAUGCCACAAUUUUUAAAUUGCAGUCAGCUACUGUCACAUAAAAUCCACACAAACUUUGUUGUUUAAAUGUCGUACAAUCUAAAAAUGAAUAAAAAAAGUUAUUUUCCACUAGCGAAUUCACGUGACUUCUUACAGCUUUCAGAAAAAUCAGGUCAAAUGCAGGAAUGCCACAUUUUCACUGGUCAAACUGCACCUUACUGUGUCAGUCUGGAAAGAAAAGUACUGAGUUCAUGUCUCCACGUUUAACAGUUUGAGCACCAGGCAUUCUACACAAAGAUUUCUACACAGCAAAGAUUUCUACACAAAAGGCAAGAUGCUCACACAUAUGUGAAAUGUAAAUGCAAAACGUAGAAUGAUAGAAGCACAACGCAAAGAAAGAAUGUAGUGCGUUGACUUCAAUUACAUUAAAAGGGAAGUCUGCAGGGCUUGAAACGUCUGUACCCAAACAUUUAGUAAAGUGACAAAAGGAAAUAACUUUCAGCAAUUAGAUGCAAAGUGAUUUCCAGAAUAGGAGCACUUACAGUCUGAUGUCAGCUCAAUGAUACAAUGGAGAGCUGAGACGAGCAUUAAAUGACUCAAUUCAUGAAGCUUGGGUUAGACUUUAGCAUUAAGGCCUAACUGGUGCAAGUUGGGUGGGACUCCAGAUUUUGGGGGGCCCUACAUGCCUAUAACAAGCUGACUUCAUUUUACUUUGUAAGUCUGUAAGUCGCAACUUUUAUCCCGUAAAAUUUAUCGAGCCAACUCUGACUAAUAUUUUUGUCAUUUCUGUUAAUAGUUAUUUUUCGCUUCCUAGUUACAAGAAAAGUAGAAUGAGACCUAACAGAGAAUUUGUACAUUUGUCAAGCAGCAGUCCAGAAGAAACACAUUAUAAUUUUUUACCAAGAGCAGUGUUUGUGUUUGUGGAGCUAUGAUUGCUCCACAAGUCACCUACUAAUGUUACCUUAAAAAGUAAUAUUGUCACUUUUAUUAUCACAAUAGAACUAUAGAAUAUCAUGAUAAAACUUUAAGCCCAUAUCACUCACCAAUGAUGUGAAUCAUAAAACAAUAUUCAAGCACACAACUGUUAUUUAACAACCCAUUGUAACUGGCAUUCAUGGGAUGUAGGGCACCAAAAGAAGUGGUCCAAACAGCCCACAGACCAACAUUUUAUAAAUCCGGCCCUGCACAAGGGCCAUUUCCACAUGGUUUGGAUUUUAUUUGUGGCUCCUAUACAAUUUUAAAUAGCUGUUUGGGUAAAAUAAACCAACCUCUAAGGGUUAAACUGUCAUCAGAACUUAAAUCGGGGCUAGGUGUUUGUGCAGGAACCACCUGCUGGAGCAACGUGACAGAAUGGAUGUCUCAGACCUUUUAGCAAAGCAGCUACUGUCACACAACUUCAGCAUCAUUAUUACACAGCAGCUCUCCCUGCUGACUGUAUGGAUGCAGACCGACAGAGACAAUGAAUGAGCUUGAGACUGAAUGAGCUCGUCAGAUUCAGGAGAACACCCGCAGCAUCGGGCCCUCCUGUGGAGAAACCAAAACACAAAGGCCUCCACCGAGUCUCUAUUAUCACUCACGACACGGAGGCGGCGGCUGCGUUGUCUAAGAAUAGAGCAGAAUCUCCCAGGAGGUCACGCUCCGACUCCAGGGGUCAUUUAACGACUGCCACCAUGAUGAAUUAGAGGUAACGUUGUUAGACUAUUGAAGGUCUUCUGAAAAAGCAUUUACUUUUUAAAACCACGUUAUCUUUAUACUUGUUUGUUUGUUUUUUUUUUGGUAAAGAUUUAUGUCUUGAAUCUACCAUAGUUCCUAUAUGGGUCAUAAAUAGAAUUAGGCCAAUAACCUAACUUUAACUAACUCGGCUGACAGUAAACAACCCGACGACUGCUUUCUCAAAACAUACUCCUUCAUUUAAAGAGGCAGUAUAUAACUUUUUUUUUAAGUCUUUUACAGUUUUGUUAAAACUGUCACUGUGUCCUGACUGUUUGCUAUGAGUCAGAUAAUCUGUGAAAAUAUCAAUCUUUUCUACCUUUUCCUUGUUCUAUCAUUGCCGUCUGAAGAAAUACAGAGCUAAAAACAACCAAUCAGAACCAGGAGGAGGGUCUUAGCGCUGUCAAUCGCCCUCAUGUACUCUGCUAAAUAUGCUAAUGAUGGAGAAACAACUUACCGAUACAGGAAACCUGUUUACCCACUGUUGUUGGAUGCUAACUAGCCUGAGCAUUGAUGACAUAAUAGAUGAGCAACACCAAACUGAUGUUGAUUGGCCUCUUGGAGACCUCCCUGUUAGUCAAAUCUUUUAAACAACGCUGGAGAAAUGUCCAGUUUUGGUAACAUCUCUGUUGUCCUUUAUUCCUUAGAGAAGUGUUUCACUGGCAGAUUUUUGAAAAAAAAAAAGAGAAAAAUUCAGGAGCGGCGUCUUGUUGAAAAGAGAACAUUUUUAUUCUAACAAAAUGUGAAAAUAGGCUCUUCUGACAGAUUACAAACUUGUUAUAAAACGUGUUUUGUUGUAUAGUUUUCCUUCUCCAUUUGUUCUCCUCUUGCUCCUGUACACUGUUUUUGAAUUUUGAACCUGAGUCAGCAGAUACAAAAACAGAUCUGUGGAUGCUUAAAAUCUGGUCACAAUCCAGCAGCUAGACACCUUCAGAUUGGUAGUGAAUGGUUUGAAAUGACUGUGUGUGGCUUCGGUCCAAAAAUUCAUUCAUUCACUCGUUUGCAACUGGUGCCUGUUAGACCACAUUGAAAAAAAAAAAAUAUAUGAACUUUCUAUCAGCCUCCAGGCCGCAGGAAAUCGCGCACUUCGCUCAGUCUUGGCUGUUUUUCCGACCCCUAGCUUGGGUCCGGUUUCUAUAACCAAACAGCAGGAGAAAACUGAGGGCAUGUGUUAAAUUAAAACAAAAGCAUUCAAAUUCAUAGUGACUAGUUGCAGAUCCUCUGUGGUAUUCCACCCACAGCUGUUUCAACCUCUUACUGCUCCCUCUGAGGACAGUCAGUAAGCAAGAAGACAUAAAAGGAAGGAAAAAACUCAAAGUGACAACUUUUUGGGAGACACCCGUAUUCCAAAUCACUUGAGUGUUGUGUGUUUUUUUUCAUAUUUAAUCCAAUAAAGGAAAACGGAAUAACUGUUACAUAAAGCACCAAAAACACUAUAAAUGUGUAGUUAGGGUUGCAGAUUAAAUGUAACUUGAGGCUAACUCUGGUAUACUGUACUACAUUAAAUGGCAGAAAUUAUGCAUGUACCUUACAUGAUUUCUGUUUGAUUCAAUAAAAUUAAUAUGUUAACUACUAUUAACAACUGAAAAGGUGCUUAACAUGCGAUUUUUCUUCUGACCAGGUGCCGCAUGAAGAGUUUUGGGUAAACUUUUAUUUGUCUUAAAUGCAAAAUGUAUGUCUUUUUUGCUCAGUUUCGGCCUUAUUAUUGCUCUCUGUAUGUUUUUCUUUCAUCAGAUGGUUUCUUUUGGAGUCUGCGUGCUCCAGUUAACAAUUAAUCGACAACUAAAUUAGCUGACGAUUAAUCUCAAUAAUCACGAUUAAUCGGAGUAAUCGUUUGGGACCUAUCUACGCCAGUCCGAACGGUGCUAACAGCCUCUCUUUUCCCCAGAUGCUGCAGAACCGUGAGACCAGAACUUAUCAUCACUGUACACGUUCAGUAUUUAUUGUAAAUAAAUCCUUUCUUUUUUG